rnacentral:rRNA from 1 species
UACGUAGGGGGCAAGCGUUGUCCGGAAUCACUGGGCGUAAAGCGCGUGUAGGCGGCCUGUUAAGUCUGAUGUGAAAGCCCGGGGCUCACCCCCGGAAGUGCAUUGGAAACUGCCAGGCUCGAGUCCCGGAGAGGAGGGUGGAAUUCCUGGUGUAGCGGUGAAAUGCGUAGAUAUCAGGAGGAACACCGGUGGCGAAGGCGGCCCUCUGGACGGUGACUGACGCUGAGACGCGAAAGCGUGGGGAGCGAACAGG